rnacentral:tRNA from 2 species
AGGGUUAUAAUUUAUAUUAAAAUAUUUGAUUUGCAUUCAAAAAUUAUUGAAUUCUCAAUUUACCUUA